UACGUAGGGUGCAAGCGUUGUCCGGAAUUAUUGGGCGUAAAGAGCUCGUAGGCGGUUUGUCGCGUCUGCCGUGAAAGUCCGGGGCUCAACUCCGGAUCUGCGGUGGGUACGGGCAGACUAGAGUGCGGUAGGGGAGAAUGGAACUCCUGGUGUAGCGGUGGAAUGCGCAGAUAUCAGGAAGAACACCGAUGGCGAAGGCAGUUCUCUGGGCCGUAACUGACGCUGAGGAGCGAAAGCGUGGGGAGCGAACAGG
rnacentral:rRNA from 1 species